GCGCACGUGGCGGAAUUGGUAGACGCGCUGUCUUCAGGCGGCAGUGCCCUUUGGGCGUGAAGGUUCGACUCCUUUCGUGCGCACCA
rnacentral:tRNA from 2 species